rnacentral:rRNA from 1 species
UCUCUCCUUUGGGGGGGGAUGCGGAGGGAUCAUUACCGAGUUUACAACUCCCAAACCCAAUGUGAACGUUACCAAACUGUUGCCUCGGCGGGGUCACGCCCCGGGUGCGUCGCAGCCCCGGAACCAGGCGCCCGCCGGAGGAACCAACCAAACUCUUUCUGUAGUCCCCUCGCGGACGUAUUUCUUUACAGCUCUGAGCAAAAAUUCAAAAUGAAUCAAAACUUUCAACAACGGAUCUCUUGGUUCUGGCAUCGAUGAAGAACGCAGCGAAAUGCGAUAAGUAAUGUGAAUUGCAGAAUUCAGUGAAUCAUCGAAUCUUUGAACGCACAUUGCGCCCGCCAGUAUUCUGGCGGGCAUGCCUGUCCGAGCGUCAUUUCAACCCUCGAACCCCUCCGGGGGAUCGGCGUUGGGGAUCGGGACCCCUCACACGGGUGCCGGCCCCUAAAUACAGUGGCGGUCUCGCCGCAGCCUCUCCUGCGCAGUAGUUUGCACAACUCGCACCGGGAGCGCGGCGCGUCCACGUCCGUAAAACACCCAACUUUCUGAAAUGUUGACCUCGGAUCAGGUAGAAUGCCCCAAG